CCCAUCGGUCGCUGAGGGAAAAUGUCUGUCUUGAAGGAAGCAUCAUGAAGGGAGAAGGAUGGCAGGCGUGUGAAUGGCCAGGAAUAUGUCGGGCUGAUGUCUCUCUUGUGUUCCCACUGUGGUGGGGGGCCUACAGAUGAGCCCCCGUCCUCUGUGGCAACCUUGGCUCUCCCUCGCCGCGACCGGCCCCGGCGCUUGGGCGACAUGAUGACCAAUAAUUGAGCGGUGCAAUGCUGCUGGAGGAGGAGACGUCACUGCUGAUUUGGUGAAGUGCUCAGGCUGCGGAAAACAAGCCAAUUGGACAAAAUGAUAGUUCAGCACCCGCUGGCAUCAUUUCCAAAAAGGAACAGAUUAGAGGUGGAGGGAGAACUACAUUUGUGGACGCCAUCUUCUCUCCUAAUAAACAAAUGUCAGGAG